GACAGCUUGAUCCCUCCACAGAGCCGGAGGCGCAUGAAGCGUGUCUGGGACCGAGCUGUGGAGUUCCUGGCCUCCAACGAAUCCCGGAUCCAGACGGAGUCCCACCGCGUUGCAGGAGAGGACAUGCUGGUGUGGAGAUGGACUAAGCCCUCUUCCUUCUCUGACUCAGAGCGAUAAGCCCCGGGCGGGGACUUGUUCCCGGUCAGCCUGUCCCAGGACAGCCCACUCCAGAGGCACAGGAGGGUCACCAGGCCUGCGGUGCUGAAUUCACACUUGCCUUGACUUUCAGUCUCGUCCUGACACGAUUCCAAAGGUCUGCCAUACUCUUCAGAGGAGUUCGGCUCGCAGGAAAAUGUGGGCUUCCUUUAAAGGGAGGGGGAGAAGCCAGGGUGAUAGCCCAGACUCUGCCCUGUUGUGCUGGCAGAAACGGGGAGAAGGGUUGAGUUUUCAUGAAUAGAAAACAAGAGCAGCAGCUGUCAGGCCCAGCUGACAAGCGUGGGGCUGGUGGGCUGGGGCAUGGCCACGCCAGGGAGUCUGUCACCUGGGAGGUGGGGCAGGGAUGGUGUUUCGGGUGGCGGGAUGGGGAGCAGCUUGGUCCAUGUGCCUUCAGGGGGUUGUUACUUGAGAGCUCCAGGGUGAAGGGAGAAAGCCUGUGCUCUGGCUGGCUGGGCCUCUAUCCUGAAGAGGGAAGGUGCUAGAAAUUAGAACAAGUGACUGUAGGGGGGACCGUCUAGAAACACCAGGCCCAGACACACGGUCCCUCAGGUCAGGAGGAGUGAGCAGCCGGCACAGCCUCCUGGGAGGAUCCCGAAGUAGGGACUGGGGCUGAGAGCAGAGAGGAGGGUCGGGCAGCCCCAGGGCGGGCGGGCCCGCCUCAGUGUUGCUUCUCACAGAAGCUGCGACUCUAGACCAGGCCUGCAGCCAGAACGCCGAUUCCGGGAGCUUGGGAGCCCUGCGUCAGGGCCCAGAGCCUCGCACUUGCUGUGUGCGAAGAUCGCCUUGCUUUACUGUGACCACAGCCCCGACGCGGGGCUGUUUAACAAGAACUUCAGCGCAGCCGGCGUUUCUGUUACCCCGGCCGCGGCUCUUGGCGGCGGGAGAGGCGCAGUGGCUGCAGGCUGCCCCCUGCCGGCCACAAGGGAGCAGCGUCCGCGCCGCCGCCCACCGGCCCUCCCGCCAGCUCCUCAGCCUGCUCCCUGGGAGGCAGGCUCCAGAAGCACCCCGACGGGGGGCCUUAUUAAGUGCGAGAAGCCUCUCCAGCGAGUCUUCCCCGUGUGUCCUCAUCUGCGGCAGGCAGGAGAGGGGGAGCAAACAGGAAAUUCCACAGCUGCCUCCAGAAACAUUAACCACCCCUCUCUAGUCUUACUGGUAUUUUUUGUUUCCUUAAUAAAGCUCCAGUCUCCCUCAUUUGAGCAAUACUCUCAUUUCCUCUGAUGUCUGGAUGAUCGGCAGGGCAGGAAUCUGAGCGCUGGCCCCGUGGUGAGGCCAUGUUCUCAUAAUCAGGCUCCAGCCAGAAAAAUAAGAAACACCGCAACAGGCUUCAGUAUCAGGGCUGAAACUGCUGGAUGAAUAAAC
rnacentral:lncRNA from 1 species